UAUACAGCACCAAAGGGACUCCGCAGCCAACGACUCAGUCCAUCUGGGUGGUUCUGAUACAGCCCGAUGGUUGCCGUGAUUUGAGAGAGUUGAGAACCUUGAGAGGAAAAAGCCACUGCUCCCAAGCUCUUCCGCCAGGGUGACCGGACUUCGCCGAUCCUCACGCGCCCGGGACAGCCUCGUCUCCUUCCGCAGCUGGCCCGAGUCUUCUCUCCACACCAGCUGGGGUUGUUUCCUGUGGCUGCUGUCACAGGUGACCCCAAAGGGAGGGACUUAAAUCUUUCCUUUCCUCUUCCAGCUGCUGGUGGCCCCAGGUGUUCCUUGGCUCGUGGCCACAUCCCUUCGGUCUCUGCCUCUGUUCUCACCUGGCCUUCUCCUCUGUGUGUCUGUGUGUCUCCCGCUUCUCUAUUACCAAAUAAGGUCAUGUGCACAGGUUCCAGGGGUCACGACACGGGCACGUCUUUUAGGGGGCUACUCUUCGGUCCACAAUACCAACCACCAGCCAGAGGGAGCUUCCCGAAACGUAAGCGGGAACGGGCUCUGCCCUGCCUACCACCUCCCAGGGCCCCUUCAGCUAACCGCUCUCGGCUCCCACCGCUUUGCCGUCCGUGCCAACAGCCUGGCGCGGCUCCCCGGAGGUGGUAGUCUGCCACCUGAGGGUCUUCAAAAUGUUCGGCCAAGGGGAGGGACUCGCGUCGCCUACCCUGUCCCCAGCUCUCGCUGUCUGCGGCAAGGCGCGGGCCCCCCCGGGCGGAGUACCUGUGUGCGCUGCGUGUUUGUGCGCGGGUGCCCGUGCGCGUGCGGGUGGAGGGACUCAGGGCCCCAAGCCCCCUGUGCAGCUAACCCCCGUCAUGCCUGGAGCACCGUGUCACUGCUGACUGUCCCCUACCCGAGGCCGAGACCCAGACCACGCAGAAUGGCAGCCGAAAGCGGCAUACCAUGCACACACACCCCCCACACUCACCCACAAACGUGCGCACGCAUCAGGCACGCCCCCCUCCCCCGCGCACACGGAGGGCUGCACCGUGCAUACACGUCACACACCCAAAUCCUAUCACUCUGCCCUCUGGCCCCCGGGCCCGGAGGCCUGCAGGUGACCUCCUCAUCCCCCGUGUUUGUCAGUUAAACAGCACGGCUGGAACUCCUCCUUCCCCCCCGGGCCUUUUGUGGUGUGAAGUCUCAGCUCAGCAAGUAAUAGGUGCCUGUGAAUGUGAGUCAAGGGAAUGACUCAAUGAACACAUUAAUUUUUAAAACCCUGGGUCACAGGGCACCCUCCUGGCAGGCAGCCUGGACACAGUGGUUGACAAAUGAAUAAUUCACUAGCCACCAGUCGGAGCCAGCAAACCUCCAGGCUGCUCGGCUCUCCCACCACCAAGCCACACCCACGGUGCCGGCCCUCCCUUCCCGGUCACCUGUCACCACUCCCCGAACGUGGCUUCCCCCCUCUCACCACCCACCCAUCCCCUGACCUUGCCCCGGGGAUUAUCUCCAGACCCUGUACAGAGAAGGAUUCUGUGACAUUUGCCAACACUUCCUCCAAUUGCCUUGGCAAUGGCGCCGUCUCCUAAUGAGGGAGGGAGGGCUCGGGCUGAGGCUCAAAGGGUGGGGCAGAGAAGGGAGAGACGCACUGGGGGCGCAGGGGAGAGGCCGUGCCCAGGCCAGGCCACCGGAAGGCUGGGUGGUCUUCAUCAAACACAGGGGAUGGUUUCCAAAGUGCUGACCCUGCCCACCUCCUCCCCAGUGGCCUUCACCCUGGGAGCGGUCGGUUGGAGAGCAGCGUCAUCCAAGUCCAGUCCCGUCACCUGUCCUUGGAACCUGAGAACGUCGCUCCGCUGUAACCCCUUCUUGCCCACCUCGCCCCCUCUCCUCCAACACCUCCCGGGCCUCCGAUCGCUCGCCGUCAGCGAGCCCAAC
rnacentral:lncRNA from 1 species